UACGUAGGGGGCUAGCGUUGUCCGGAUUUAUUGGGCGUAAAGAGCGUGUAGGCGGCCAGGUAGGUCUGCUGUGAAAAACUCGAGGCUCAACCUCGAGACGUCGGCGGAAACCAUCUGGCUAGAGUCCGGAAGAGGAGAGUGGAAUUCCUGGUGUAGCGGUGAAAUGCGCAGAUAUCAGGAAGAACACCCGUGGCGAAGGCGGCUCUCUGGGGACGGUACUGACGCUGAGACGCGAAAAGCGUGGGGGGAGCGAAACAGGG
rnacentral:rRNA from 1 species